rnacentral:rRNA from 1 species
CAGAGGUGGCAAGCGUUGUUCGGAAUUACGUGGGCGUAAAGGGCGCGUAGGCGGCCUUCUAAGUCGGACGUGAAAUCCCCAGGCUUAACUUGGGAACUGCGUCUGAUACUGGAAGGCUUGAGUGCGGGAGAGGGAUGUGGAAUUCCAGGUGUAGCGGUGAAAUGCGUAGAUAUCUGGAGGAACACCGGUGGCGAAGGCGGCAUCCUGGACCGACACUGACGCUGAGGCGCGAAAGCCAGGGGAGCAAACGGGAUUAGAUACCCCGGUAGUCCUGGCCCUAAACGAUGAGUGCUUGGUGUGGCGGGUAUCGAUCCCUGCCGUGCCGAAGCUAACGCAUUAAGCACUCCGCCUGGGGAGUACGGUCGCAAGGCUG